rnacentral:rRNA from 1 species
CUAGCUGUAAACGAUGGAUACUAGGCGUUGAGAGUAUCGACCCACUCAGUGUCGUAGCUAACGCGUUAAGUAUCCCGCCUGGGGAGUACGCGCGCAAGCGUGAAACUCAAAGGAAUUGACGGGGGCCCGCACAAGCGGUGGAGUAUGUGGUUUAAUUCGAUGCAACGCGAAGAACCUUACCAGGGCUUGACAUGUCCGGAACCCUGCCCAAAGGCGGGGGUGCCUACGGGAACCGGAACACAGGUGGUGC